rnacentral:tRNA from 1 species
CAAGCGCUGGGCUGCGCUGCGGGAAUCCAGGAUGCUUUUGAUGUCUUUGAUCGUGCCGUCCUUGGCGCGAUAGCAGAGUUCGGCGCCUUGGCGCCUGG